rnacentral:rRNA from 1 species
GGGGGAAUAUUGCACAAUGGGCGCAAGCCUGAUGCAGCCAUGCCGCGUGUGUGAAGAAGGCCUUCGGGUUGUAAAGCACUUUCAGCGAGGAGGAAGGGUAGGGUGUUAAUAGCACAUUGCAUUGACGUUACUCGCAGAAGAAGCACCGGCUAACUCCGUGCCAGCAGCCGCGGUAAUACGGAGGGUGCAAGCGUUAAUCGGAAUUACUGGGCGUAAAGCGCACGCAGGCGGUUUGUUAAGUCAGAUGUGAAAUCCCCGCGCUUAACGUGGGAACUGCAUUUGAAACUGGCAAGCUAGAGUCUUGUAGAGGGGGGUAGAAUUCCAGGUGUAGCGGUGAAAUGCGUAGAGAUCUGGAGGAAUACCGGUGGCGAAGGCGGCCCCCUGGACAAAGACUGACGCUCAGGUGCGAAAGCGUGGGGAGCAAACA